CCUACGGGUGGCAGCAGUGAGGAAUAUUGGUCAAUGGACGGAAGACUGAACCAGCCAUGCCGCGUGCAGGAAGACGGCUCAGUGAGUUGUAAACUGCUUUUGUACAAGGAUAAACAUGAAGACGUGUAUUCAGAUGAAAGUACUGUACGAAUAAGGAUCGGCUAACUCCGUGCCAGCAGCCGCGGUAAUACGGAGGAUGCAAGCGUUAUCCGGAUUUAUUGGGUUUAAAGGGUGCGUAGGCGGAUUGAUAAGUUAGAGGUGAAAUGUCCGAGCUUAACUCGGGAACGGCCUCUAAUACUGUUGAUCUAGAGAUUAGAUGCGGUAGGCGGAAUGUAUGGUGUAGCGGUGAAAUGCUUAGAGAUCAUACAGAACACCGAUUGCGAAGGCAGCUUACCAACCUAUAUCUGACGUUGAGGCACGAAAGCGUGGGGAGCAAACAGGAUUAGAUACCCCUGUAGUC
rnacentral:rRNA from 1 species